CGGGGCAUAGCGCAGGUGGCUAGCGCGCCUGGUUCGGGACCAGGAGGUCCCCAGUUCAAAUCUGGGUGCCCCGA
rfam:Candidatus Firestonebacteria bacterium RIFOXYC2_FTLL_39_67 rifoxyc2_full_scaffold_896, whole genome shotgun sequence.